CUUACACGUUAUUUCCAAAGAAGACUAAUGUCUCACUGUCUUUCCAUUAUAUACCAUCACUCCAUUAGUGGGAUUUGUUAUUUAAGCCUAUUUAGGCCAUUCCUUGUGCCUUAUCCUUCUAAGUUUUCCAGUCAUUUUGAGGAUAGUAAAUAUCUGAUGUUUUGAAGCAUAUGCUACUCAAAUUUAGAAAAAUAAAGAAAACAAAAUUCCCUGGCCUCAGAAGUCAAUACUAUAUAUAUCUUCUUUUUGUGGUUCAUUAGCUGAAGGAAAGUAAAGGAGCCUCUACUGACCAGGAACACAAGAUCGCUUUGCUGUGCAAAAGGAAUUUAUGUCCUGCUUCCAGUGUUUCCAGGUUCUGCUUUAAGAUCUCUUAGAAAAUGUUCUUGUCUACUACAGCAUCAUCACUGAAACAAGAGGAUAAGGCCCUAAAAAGUGACACAUCAUGUCUUCACCUUGUGCUAAUGAACCAGAAUUCAGGAACAUUCUAGGUAUUUCUUAUCAAGAUGAAAAUUUUAAAAAUGAGGGUGAAAUCAGGAUCACUGAAGUCAUCUUGACAAGCCUAUUGAAUAGAAGAGGAAGACAGGAGGUGAAGAAGCAAUUUGUAAAUCGUGCACAACCCUGAUUGUCUUCUAUUAGACAACAAAAAAAGAAAACAUACGUAAAUACAGAUGAAAACAGUGGGGGGGAUAUGUUCAGUAAUUAAGAUGCAGAUUCUGUCCUUAAUGGAGUCCCUAUGCCAUAUUAAGUCAAAAAAUCAGUCUGUUCUGUAGCUGAUUAACCAGUAGUGGCAGACAUAUAGCUGUUGCUAUCUGGCAUUCUACUAUCUCAGCGUAUAUUUACUAACUGGCCUGUAAUUACUUUUCUGGAACAUUACCCAACACUGUUUUAAGGGAAGAAAGAAUUCAUUCUCUGUGUAAGAAAAUAAACAGGCAUUGUUUCCAGCUAUACCUAGUUCUAUCAUUUUAAAUGUUAGAUGUAAAACUUAACUUAAAAAAAACUAUAUCAAUAAAUUUGUUUCAAAUGUUUCAACACUGUGCUAUUUAAAAUGUUCUCUAGAGUUAUGCAUUACAUAAGUUAGUCAAUAUAUUACUACUUGAAGCCAUAGCAUCUGCAUCCUUUAUUUCCACUGAUGUGCAGUGACCAUGAAUUGCCUUCCAAAUUAUAUCUAAACAAAUCAUAUGUAAACUCCUCUUCACAACAACAGCAGUCUACACUGCUGUUCAAAUUUAGUAUGAAUCACAGUCACCUGAAGGGCUUGUUAAACCACACCUUGCUACUCCACCCCGCCAACACUGAGUUUUUGAUUCAGUAGGUCUGGAGUGGGACCCAGGAAUUUGCAUUUUUAACAAAUUCCCAGGUGAUGCUUCUGGUCUAGGGGUCACACUGGGACUCCAGCUCUCUUUCACUUUGUUUCUCUUGAAGCACAACUUCAUUAGAUCAUUUUUCUCAUUUUCCACCUAAGAAAAUCCUUUGCUCUAAACAAAUUAAUCCAAUUACUGAAUCCAUUUUUAAAAUUUAAUCAAGUCUUGUCUUCUCAUGUCUGUACCUACCCUACUUGGUGGAGAACUGUAUAAUUAGUAUACACUGAUCACUAUUUGAUAUAUGCAAUGUAUUAAUUAUUA
rnacentral:lncRNA from 1 species